rfam:Streptomyces griseofuscus strain NG1-7 NG1-17_1_1, whole genome shotgun sequence.
CCAUGUCCCUGCGCACAUCCCCCCCGGCGCCGGGACUUCCCAGAGCCGGGCUUCGGCGCCCACCCCCCCCGGGCGCCGGAGCCCGGCUUCUUC